rnacentral:lncRNA from 1 species
GAGAGCGCAGACACAGCAGCGGCCGUUGGAGGAAUUUUUAUAUUUCCCCCUUCACGGCGCUGGAGGGAAAGGGCGGAAUGGAACAUGUGGGAGCCAUCAACGUCCACCCCCGAGUCAUGGGGCAGCCCCUCCCCACGGCAUCGCCCCCCCACCCGGCACUACACAGCGGGACACCCCCGGAGCAGGAGCUUCUGGAGGGGCUGCGGUGCACCACGAGGACCCAUCCAAGCUUUGCUACGUGUCACAUCACCUCUGCACAGCAGGAGGAGAUAGCGGGGGAAACUGAGGCACGUGGGCAGCGAGGCUGCAGCCCCGGGAACACAAGGGUAGAUAGCUGUGCCAUGCACACGGGCACACAGGUGUGCGUGCACACGUGGGCUCACACGUGCAGCCGGGUGCGGAUUGCUGCUGCUCACACCGACCACCGCCCACCCACAGCAGCACCGACGGAGGGCAGGACGGGGGGUUAUGGAGGAAGGCAAAAAGCAGCCCAAACAUCCUUUGGUGACAGCCAGGAAUGGGCUGAGCCCUCCGCCCCGCAGCCCCAGGGGAGGGCAUGGAGCAGCACAUGGAGCGAUGCAGAGACCCCACAGUGUCCCACAGCAGCACGAUGGGGGGCGGGGGGUGGGGGGGGGUAGCAGUGCUCUGCCACCCCCUGCCCCACAGACUGCAGGCAGAGCUGCUGUGGAUCUGAGCCUCUGGAGAAGCUCCAUCCAUCCGCUCCCUCCUCCCUUCCCCCCUAUUGCCCCGCACCAAACCCACAGUGCGGUCACUUCCACCUCUCCACACUUCACGUGUGCCAUUGCCCCACACCGACUGCUGCCCCACAUCCCUCAGCCCCACAUCCCGGCUCAGGACCUCCUGCUUUCCGCCCCCCACCCCCCCCCACCCCACAGUGUGUGCACGGCCCGACGUUGGGCACUUCAGCACAGGGGGCACAGUUGUAGGGAAGAACACUUCCUGAGCAUCCCCAAGCAUUGGGGCACCACGUGGGCGGCAUCCUCAGGCCCGGACCCCCAAGUGGGACCGAUGGGAGCCACGUCCCGAACCCAGCGCUCCUGGGGGGGCAGAAGGGAGGCAGCAGUGGGGGCACCGCAGGCAUUGGGGCCGUUGCCAGCGGCUGCUCGGAGUGAUGGGGGGUUCGGGGGUACCCCCGUUCAAUGCGCCCCUAAAAGGGCAGGCAGCCCCCAGGCUGAGUGCUCCAUGAUGUGGGUGGGGGAGCAGCUCUGCCCUUCCACACAACUGGAGGGGGGGGGGCCGGCACAGAGGUUUCUAUGGCCCCGCUGUGUUCUGCACUGGAGAGGGG